CAAGAACAAAAGUCCAAGAAGAUAAUGGAGAGUAAACCACAAGGAGCAAAGAAAAUGUGGCGGGAGUUGACAAAAGCAUGCCACAUUCAAGCAUUUAGUCACCCCUGGAAUUCAACUGUUGAACAUCAAACAGAUCUGAGAGAGGAAGCAAGAAAGUGAGGAAGUGUUGGAGUGAGCAGAAUUCGAAUGAGCUCAAAUCAUGGAAAACAUGAGACAUCAAGGGUCAUCAUCUACAUCCCACUAUCAACCCAGCAGAGGAAACCAAGGGAAAAAAUACUCAGACCAGUCACUCUUCUUGACCUCUUGCCUCUUACUUAUGCCUGUCAUUGAAUGAAACCAGCUGGACCCAGAAAAUAAAAGAAGUGGAUUGGUGCAAUCUAUACAGGUUGGCUUCCUGGCUUUAGAGCAAGGGAUGGAGAGUGGAUACUAGUGCUGCAGGUGAAAACAAAUUAUCCAAGA
rnacentral:lncRNA from 1 species